ensembl:lncRNA
CUCCCUCUCCUCCUCCCGGAGCCCAGGGGCGGGGGCCGCCUCCACCAGCCCUCGCAGGGCCUGGCCCAGAUCCCCCAGGCCCCUGACGGCCUCCACCAGCCGGCCCAGCUCCAGGCCCGCGGCCCUCCUCUCGGCGCGGCUCUGCUGCACGGCCUGGGUCAGGAUCCGCAGCUGCUUCCCCACGUCCCUCACGGCGCCCACCAGCUCCCGCAGGGCCGGCGGCUCGCAGGCCAUGACUCGGAGGACGGCCGGGGCGGCCCCCACGCACUGGCCUGUCUCCACGUCCCGGGGGGCCGUGGGGCCUGCUGCCGGGGGCUGCUCGGGGCCGGGCUUGGGAGUCGGGGCCGGGGCGGGGACGGGACCGGGGUUAACGGUGGGCACCGCGGCCGCCAUGAGGCUCGAGUCCCGGGCAGUGGGGGUCGGGGGAGGCGCAGGGCUGGAGCCGGGGGCAGGGCCGAGACCUCUGGCCGUCUCCGAAGGGGCCGGGGAGACUUGGAGGGGACCCUGGCCGGGGGCUGGGGGAGGCUGUGCGCCGCCGGGAGGCUGGGGCCCUGGGGCCGUCCCUGAGCUGGCCGGGGCCACGCUGGCUGGCUGGGACGUGGGGCUGAGCUCUGGAGCUUCUGCUGUCCAAGAGGGCAAGGGCAGGGUCCGCCCGUGGGCGCUGGGGGGGGUGGUGGUCAUCUCCGGGCCUGGGGAUGGGCUAAGCUCCAGCUCAGUUUGGGUGGGAUUAAAGGCGGGGGUCAGCCGCGGGGGCUGAGAGGUCAGCACUGGGGUGGAGGUGGGGUCAGAAGGCAUCUGCAGGGACAUGUCAGAGGUCAGGAGGGAGAUAGAAUCAGGAGUGAAUCGUGGUGCGGUGGAGGGAGAAGUCAACAGUGGGCUAGAAUCAGAGGUCAGGUCUAAGGGGGAGUUAGGGGUCAGCUGUGGGCUGGGGUCAGAGGUCAGGUCUAAGGGAGAGUUAGGGGUCAGCUGUGAGCUAGGGUCAGAGGUCAGGUCUAGGGGAGAUUUAGAGGUCGACUUUGGGCUAGGGUCAGAGGUCAGGUCUAAGGGAGAUUUAGUGGUCAGCUGUGGGCUAGGGUCAGAGGUCAGGUCGAGGGGAGAUUUAGUGGUCAGCUGUGGGCUAGGGUCAGAGGUCAGGUCUAGGGGAGAGUUAGGGGUCAGCCGUGGGCUAGGGUCAGAGGUCGGUCGUGAGAGGGACUCGAUGGUCAGUUGUUGGUUGGUAUCAGAUGUCAACUGUGGGGCGACAUCCGGUAUUGGCUGUGGGGCAGAGGAAGGGGUGAGCUCUCCCUUAGGGGUGAGGUCAGAGGUGAGCUCUGGCAUAAAGUCCGGGCUCUGCCAUGGGCCCGGAUCAGCAAUUAAUUGGUCAGGGACAGAGGUCACCCCUGACAUUGGGGAGGAGUCAGAGGUCAGCUGUGAGCCGGGGUCAGAGGUCAGUUCUAGGACAACAUCUGAAGUCAGUCUGUGGCUGACAUCAGAGAUCAGCCGAAGGUUGGGCUCAAGGGUCAGCUGUAGGUCAGGGUCAGUGGUUAGCUGUGGGCUGGGGUCAGAGUUCAGCUGUUUGUCUGAAUCAGGGGUCAGCCGCGGACUGAGGUCAGUGGUCAGAGACAGUCCGAGAUCAGAGGUCAAAUGUGUGCUCGAUUCAGCGGUCGGAGGUGCUGGGGGGAGCGUGGGCAGCUGGAGAUCCGGGCCGGGGGCCUCCUCGGGGGCCGCAGAGCGACCCCGGACAUCUGGGGAGAGAAAGCAGAAAGGGGCAGGGUCACUCCCAGGGAGGCC